AUACGGAGGAUCCGAGCGUUAUCCGGAUUUAUUGGGUUUAAAGGGAGCGCAGGCGGCCAUUUAAGUCAGCGGUUAAAUCGUGGGGCUCAACCCCAUUCUGCCGUUGAUACUGGGAGGCUUGAUUGCGGUCGAGGUUGGCGGAAUUCGUUGUGUAGCGGUGAAAUGCAUAGACAUGACGAAGAACACCGAUUGCGUAGGCAGCUGACCAGAUCGCAAAUGACGCUCAUGCACGAAAGUGCGGGGAUCGAACAGGAUUAGAUACCCUGGUAGUCCGCACAGUAAACGAUGAAUACUUGUUUUCGGCGAUAUAAUGUCGGAGGCAAAGCGAAAGCGAUAAGUAUUCCACCUGGGGAGUACGCCGGCAACGGUGAAACUCAAAGGAAUUGGCGGGG
rnacentral:rRNA from 1 species